UGGCUCAGGAUGAACGUUGGCGGCGUGCUUAACACAUGCAAGUCGAACGCAGAUAGCAAUAUUCGAGUGGCGCACGGGUGAGUAACACGUAGCUUACCUGCCCUGAAGAGUGGGAUAACGUUCCGAAAGGGAUGCUAAUACCGCAUAAGCUCCCGAGCUACAGAGGCUAGGGAGAAAACGGGGAAACUCGCUUCAGGAGGGGGCUGCGGCCCAUCAGCUAGUUGGUGAGGUAAAGGCUUACCAAGGCGACGACGGGUAGGGGACCUGAGAGGGUGACCCCCCACACUGGGACUGAGACACGGCCCAGACUCCUACGGGAGGCAGCAGUGAGGGAUAUUGCACAAUGGGCGCAAGCCUGAUGCAGCGACGCCGCGUGGAUGAAGAAGGCCUUCGGGUCGUAAAAUCCUUUUGCGCGUGACGAGGACAAGGACGGUAGCGCGCGAAUAAGUCUCGGCUAACUACGUGCCAGCAGCCGCGGUAAAACGUAGGAGACGAACGUUAUCCGGAGUUACUGGGCGUAAAGGGCGUGCAGGCGGCCUGAUAAGUUCGGCGUGAAAUUUUUCGGCUUAACCGGGGGAUGUCGUCGGAGACUGUCGGGCUAGAGGGUGAUAGAGGCGUGUGGAAUUCCGGGUGUAGUGGUGAAAUGCGUAGAGAUCCGGAGGAACACCAGUGGCGAAGGCGACACGCUGGGUCAUACCUGACGCUAAAACGCGACAGCAUGGGGAGCGAACGGGAUUAGAAACCCCGGUAGUCCAUGCCGUAAACGAUGCCAACUCGGUGUUUGGUCCGGGGAACCGGACUGGGUACCCAAGCAAACGCGGUAAGUUGGCCGCCUGGGGAGUACGGUCGCAAGAUUAAACUCAAAU
rnacentral:rRNA from 1 species